rnacentral:rRNA from 1 species
UACGUAGGGGGCAAACGUUGUCCGGAAUUAUUGGGUGUAAAGCGUGCGCAGGCGGUUAAUUAAGUCAUAUGUGAAAUGCUACGGCUCAACCGUAGAGUUGCAUUUGAAACUGGUUAACUUGAGUGCAGGAGAGGUAAGUGGAAUUCCCGGUGUAGCGGUGGAAUGCGUAGAGAUCGGGAGGAACACCAGUGGCGAAGGCGACUUACUGGCCUGCAACUGACGCUGAGGCGCGAAAGCGUGGGGAGCAAACAGG